AGAGUUAGCUAGCUAGCUAACCUAGCUUGCUAACCUAGCCAAUGAGGUGUGUGUGUGAAAGAAAUAGUCAAAUAAAUUAUGCUAGUUACUACCCCUGAUAACUUUACCAAAUAAUCAUGUUUGAAAGAGUGUGAGUGUAUGCUAGAUAAAUAGUCAUAGAAAUGGUAGAUAUUACUGUACCCCUGAUCAUUUGGUCAGAUAACCGYGUGUAUGUGUCUAUGUGUACAGUAAGUGACAUGUCCAUGAUAGCUAUCUAAUAACUAUAGUUAUGCUAGGUAAUGGUUUGGCUUAUCAUGUUCAUGUCUAUGUAGAAGAAGACUGUAGGAGGAAGUGGAGAGGACUCAGGGACAGGUAUCAGAGAGAGAGAAGGGCAGAGAAAGAGAAGAAGAGGUCUGGGUCAGCAGCUUCAGGCCAGCAGCCUUGGCGCUUCUGCCACAUUCUUUCUUUUCUGGAUCCAUUUAUUGUGCCUAGGGCAAUGAGUGGCAAUUUUACAGCCAGACCCUCUACUACGUCAUCCACAGGUGUUGUCGCCACCGGUGCAUCAAGACCCUCAACGUCACCUACAAGUGCGACCAUCACCUCCACCGGUGCAGCGAGGCCUCUACAACGUCUACAUCAUCCACAAGUAUGACCACCACCGGUGCAGCGAGACCCUCUACAACGUCUACAUCAUCCACAAGUAUGACCACCACCGGUGCAGCGAGACCCUCUACAACGUCUACAUCAUCCACAAGUAUGACCACCACCGGUGCAGCCAUGGAAGAUGAUGAAAUGGAGGAAGCACCUCUGGAUCUACGACCACCUGAGAUUAUUAUGAACCUCACGGAAAUGACCACUGAGGACCUCGUUGAACAGGAUGUGGCCGUGGAGAGAAACAGGGAGAGAAACAAAGAGGAAUAAUGUCACACCAGGCGUCAUCGGAGGUACCAGCCCCCAGAUCCACUCAACUCAUUUCAGCAGAGGCUCCUCCAGGCCGUCGAGAGGGAUGCAGCCCAACCUCAGCAAAAAAAAGCAGCAGUCAAGGUUGAAAUGUAUCAGCUGCUUUUCGAUGACAAGUUCAAGGAAAUAGAGUCAAUUUAGCCGACCAGCUCACAGGAAGGACAGGAAGAGGAGAGGAAGGACAGGAAGAGGAGUUGUCUGGGUGUUGUUUUGACCUCCCUCAUUGUACCUUUCUUUUCACACACGUCAGUUACGUUUAAAUUCAGUCAAUUCAUAAAGUCAUUUGUUUCUAAAGUCUUAGGAUAGCAUUCAUUAUUAGUGUUACAUAGAUUUCUGAAUUGAUAGAAUUGAAACUCAUACACCGGAGAAUUCACAGAUGCUCUUGUUGGUCUCUUACGAGACUAAAGGUGAAUAUAUUUAUUUCAUUUAAAACCACUUGAAAACCAGGGUGUUGAAACUGUUUGUGAAGUUAUGUUCCAUCGACUGGUCCAUGACGUCCAGGGGCCAUUUGUUUGUUUAGCUGUGUUAUGGCUACACAUUAUUUAAUUUUUUCCAGAGACACACACACACACACCUCUUCUCCACUCCUCUCUGUGCCUCAGAUCUCCAGUGCCCUGCCCUCUCUCUCUUUAUGGCCAUGUCUGAAGUUCCCCUACUACAUCUAGGCUUUAUGAGUAGUCCCUGUAUCGGUCUGCAGUUGUGCCAAAAAUACAUGCUCUUGUUGUUCUCUUACAGAUUACAGGCUACACAUUCAUU